UGUGUGCGCGCCCGCCCGCCCGCCGGAUCGGUUUCUCGGGGUUUGACCAGCUGUCCCAGGCUAACCCUGCUCUCUGAAGAUGGAGGAAGUAAAAACAGGAUUACCCUUAGCUACAGAUCCACUGCCUUAGUUUCCAUAACCAACUGCAGUGCACAAACACACAGUCCUUGGGCAAGAGAGAGAGAGAGGCAGAGGCGACCCCAAUAAAAACACAAACAAAAGGGUGAUGGAAGUGAUUCACUGCAUGCACUGCUGAGCACUGCACUUUGACUAUGGAAGCAGAGGCUACUGAUGGAUAUAUAACAUGUGACAAUGAGCUUUCCCCUGAAAGAGAGCACUCCCACAUGGCUAUUGACCUCACUUCAAGCACACCCAAUGGGCAGCAUACCUCACCGAGUCACAUGACAAGCA